rnacentral:lncRNA from 1 species
GAGAUGUGCACCCCACAUCUCUUUGCUCCAUUCCCGGUCCGCAAGAUGGGUGCUUGUCCGUGCGCCCCACCCCACCCCCACGCCCGAGGCCGGGUGCGGCACCUCCGCCCGCCAGCCGCUCCUGCAUUAAAAUUUCAUGGGCGCUGCAGUAAACGCGAAGACGACGCCGGCUGCGCUGGGGGGCCGUAGGGAGGGAGGCUGCGGACCAGAGCGGGGAGGAGUUUGCGAGGGGAGGCGCUUGGGAGGACUCCCCCAGUUCUGUUAAGAGCUGGGCACAAAGAGCCCUUUGCACUCCAGCCGCAGGAGCGAGGAGGAGCCGAGCUAGAUGCACAUGGGCGUGGGGACUCCGGUACCACACCAACCCACAAGACCUGGGGCGUCCAGCGCAGCCUCAAACCCAGGGGAUCGCUGCACUCUCAUUGCGACGUUGCUCUGGAUGCUGUUUGCAUAUCCUUGGGGAGUCACUGCUUUGGCACAACAGUCCCGCGAGGUGCUGGAGUUCCGUCUGUUCUCAUCACACGGACAUGGCUGAUCUGUCUCAGUGACGGAAGAGUGGAGAGAUUUGGGAAAGGUCACGACUAGCCUGCAAAGUAGCCUUGCAGAUAAGUAUCAUUUCACCAGCCCGCCUGCUCUCUGCUGGUACGCUGAGAAAGGGGCAGCUCUGGAAUCCCCAAUGGGAGGGAGGAUGGGUGUCCUGUGACUCUGGCUCUUGAAGAUGUCGUUUGUAAGCUUGAAC